rnacentral:rRNA from 1 species
CACCGCCCGUCACAUCACGAAAGUGGAUUGUACUAGAAGUCUGCGCGCUAACCCGCAAGGGGGGUAGCGGCCCAAGGUAUGAUUCAUGAUUGGGGUG